ensembl:lncRNA
UCACAUACACACCCCUCACCGUUUGACUGUAAUAACAAAAAAAAAAGAAAAAAGAAAAAAAUACUCUCUCUCUGUGGACCUGAGGAAAACUUUGCGGUUAUCUCUUUCUCUCUCUCUCCUGCCUGAGGCUGCACACAAUGGACUCUGAUGUAGUUGUCCAAACAGAACUGUGAGAAGUUGCAUCAGUGUGCCACAAGAUAUGAAUCACACUGUUUUACACUGUGCUGGCAUUUUAGAAGAACGCCACCACAUCUGUUAGCACUGUUGCUGGGGUCAUAUGUCAUUGACCUUAAAGAGCAUCCGUUUAAAAAAAACUAGAUCUCUGAUAUCUCUUAUGGGGUUAUCAGUAAACAACCAGAAUUAAGGAGCACUGUUUUUUUUUUUUUUUUUUUUUGACAUUUACUCCAUUACAGGAAUGUUGAAUAUUUGCGAGACUUGAGACUUGAAAAUGUACAUGCUGAAUAAUUAUAUGCAGUGCUCGCCACAGAAACACACACAUCCUCCUAUUAAUUUAAAAUCAUUAUUUCUCACGUUAGUGUUGUUUGCUCUCUGAGUUCGAUCUAGGACAGCAGCAGAUAAAUAGCCAUGGUAACUCGUUAACAGAGAAAUGGCAGAACACAUGCUGAUGCCAGUGUUAGCUCAUAACCACACAAAUUAAAGUGCUGUCAGAGUGUGUACUGCUUUUAAUGAAGAUCGUGUGUAUGUGCUCCAGCUCCAUGUUUAUGACUUUUCUGAUGUAGCGAACUUGCUCUCUGGCUCACCUGGUACAGCAUUGCACUCAGGUAAAAAAAAAAGUCAAAAUGUCACAUCACAACUUAACAUUAGAAGGAUUAGAAGGACAUGAGGGGUUCUCUCAGCUGAGGAACGUACAGCAUCACUUGUUUUCAUCUCCCCUCAAUCCCUCAACAGCUACUAGUUGUGCUCCGUUUGGUGCAGAUGUUAAGGGGGAACAUUCUGAAAGCUUAUAUCCUGUUUGCAUGUU